UUGAACGCUGGCGGCAGGCCUAACACAUGCAAGUCGCACGGUAACAGGAAGCAGCUUGCUGCUUCGCUGACGAGUGGCGGACGGGUGAGUAAUGUCUGGGAAGCUGCCUGAUGGAGGGGGAUAACUACUGGAAACGGUAGCUAAUACCGCAUAAUGUCGCAAGACCAAAGAGGGGGACCUUCGGGCCUCUUGCCAUCGGAUGUGCCCAGAUGGGAUUAGCUUGUUGGUGGGGUAACGGCUCACCAAGGCGACGAUCCCUAGCUGGUCUGAGAGGAUGACCAGCCACACUGGGACUGAGACACGGUCCAGACUCCUACGGGAGGCAGCAGUGGGGAAUAUUGCACAAUGGGCGCAAGCCUGAUGCAGCCAUGCCGCGUGUAUGAAGAAGGCCUUCGGGUUGUAAAGUACUUUCAGCGGGGAGGAAGGGAGUAAAGUUAAUACCUUUGCUCAUUGACGUUACCCGCAGAAGAAGCACCGGCUAACUCCGUG
rnacentral:rRNA from 1 species